rnacentral:ncRNA from 1 species
GGGUAAGCCUGGAAUAGAAAGGGCAGAUAAAUAUCUGUUCACCAGAGAGUCGGGAUAGGUGGGAGCCGAUGAACAGACUUAUACUGAAGAUCCUCUUGGAGACGCUAUGCUGAAAGAGAACAGUAAGCAUUGCCGGUUUCUUCCGUUACCAAGACUAGACGUAUGAUGCGUCUUCUAAAGUGCCGUAUAUAUACGGAAUUAGGGUGGUACCGCGAUUCGACUCGUCCCUUCA